GAAGAUGAAGAUGAAGAUGAAGAUGAAGAAGAUGAUGCUGACAAUUAUGAAGAUAAAUUUUUUACUGAUCUUUUCGUAGUAGAAAAAAUUGGUAUUAAGGUUGUGUGUGAUGAUGAUGAUGAUGAUGAUGAUGAUGAUGAUGAUGAUGAUGAUGAGAAGAGAACAAUGAGCUGCAAGAGUAGUAGUUAUCUUUCUUGGACAGAACAUACUCUUCUCAAGUUGUCAGAUUUUCAUGUGCCCAGAACAGAUUAUUACUUGCAUUCGUACAGAUUGUCACGUUGGACAGCACAAAACAGAUACAGAAAAG
rnacentral:lncRNA from 1 species